GACAGCAGCAGCCGCGGUAAUACGAAGGGUGCAAGCGUUAAUCGGAAUUACUGGGCGUAAAGCGUGCGUAGGCGGUUUGUUAAGUCUGUUGUGAAAUCCCCGGGCUCAACCUGGGAACUGCAUUUGUGACUGGCAAGCUAGAGUGUGGCAGAGGGGGGUGGAAUUCCGCGUGUAGCAGUGAAAUGCGUAGAUAUGCGGAGGAACACCGAUGGCGAAGGCAGCCCCCUGGGCCAACACUGACGCUCAUGCACGAAAGCGUGGGGAGCAAACAGGAUUAGAUACCCCGGUAGUCCCUGUCUCUUAUAC
rnacentral:rRNA from 1 species